CCCGGAUUUUAAAAAUAUUUUUAUUAAUAUUAUAAAUGAUUUUCUUAAAAAGAAAGGAAUAAGAUUUAAUAUUUUAUUCCAGUUUAAUGAGUUUUCAAGGUUUUAUAUUUAAACCCCGGGUUAUUGUGUUAUUGAUAAAUAAUUGUAAUUUCAAAAUGGAUUUUCAUAUAAAAAUUCUGUAUGAAUAUUAUGUGAGUAUAUGUGUUAUGUGAUGAAGUGGUAGUGGUGAAUUUGUUUGUUAAUUAGUUAUGAUUAAUUAUUAAUAUUAUAUGAUUAAUAUAUGAAUUUUUGUGAAUUUUGUGUUAUCCAGUUUAUUGAGCUGACUGCUCAUAUGUGUUCGUAUCUGAGAGAUUUCAAUUUCUAUAUGCUCAGGAGAAAAUAUAGUUUAUUUGGAUAUUUUCAUAUCGAUUUAUGGAAUGUUAGAUGAUUUUAUAAUCGAUUUACGGAUUUAAUUGCGUAUAUUUAUAUUUAUUGAUUAAUUAUUUGACUUCCGUAAAACCGUCCACUCGUAACGAGGUAGCAAAUUUUCUUCCCGGAAGUUUCAACAAAACUGACCUUUAGCCUAAUUUGAAUAUUCCGGACACUUUUCGUGUUUUGACUUUUUCGAUCCGGAGUACGGUUUUCCCCGGAGUCGGUCCGGCGGAGUUUUUCGGGUAUUUUAAUUGUUGAUAAUUAUCCAGUUUGUCUCGAUAAGCGUGAAACGAGAUAUUUUGAUUAUUAUAUUCAUCCUUAUCUUGUAAUAAUUGCAAUGGGACCCGCAGACCAAUAAUUGAGUUAAAAAGCCCCGUUUUGAUGAUUAUCUCGAAAACCAGUACCGAUUGGACCCCGCUUUAUUAAUAUAAAGCUAUUAAAUACGUAUUUUCAUGUCAUAAACGAUCCAAAGGGGUACCAAUUAUUUGUAAAUAUAAAUAGACCUUUCUAGAGCUUAUUUUCACCCGUAAAAUCAUUUCACCAGUUUCUCUGCACGAAUACCGAGAGAAACCGAGCGGUGUUCUUCGUGUUCUUCAUAAUCAAACGAAGAUUUGAAGGUGUUAUUGGAGUCAGAAUCAAGCGUGCAAAUAGUCAAAUCGAAGAUAUCGAAGAGUAGAACCCAAAUCAAUCAUCAAAAACAACAUGAGAUUCACAGGUAGGGAGUAAUUGAAGUUUUAAAAUUCGAAUUAUUAUAAUUUUAAAGAUGAAUUUUUGUAAACGAUCUUGUUUGAUUGUUUUGAUGAUUCCAUGUUGUAGAGCGUGUUUUUCUCGUCGUUUUGGUAUAUUAUAUGUUGAAUUUGGGGUUCGGAAUCAUAUAGAAACAGUGGUUUAAUUCUUGAGUAGGUGUUCUUGAGUGUUCUUCGUGGGUUAUGAAUAUUUUCAAUUGAGAUUUGGGCGUUUCUUAUCUGUUAAUCACAUGAGCAAUCGGUUGAUAUGGUUGGAUAGAGCGUGAAGAGAGGAACUUGUGGGUAUGUUCAAAAGUUAUGUGGGAUUCCCGGAAAGGGGUCACCGGAGUUUCGAAAGAAACUCGCCGGCGGGUUUUUGCUUCGAUUUUCCGGCCAUUCUUUGCGACGAUUGGUGAUUCUGAUCAAGUGUGUAGGUUCCUGGUGAUCGGUAGUCGAGUUAUGCGUAGUUUGGUGGCCGCCCGAGGCCUGUUUAGCCGAUUCCGGCGAGUCAGGGGUGCCAACGGCGACAAAGUGCCGUUUGGUCACCCAACUUAUGAAGAUGAUGAAGUUAUUGUAUUCGAGUUUUGAAAAUUACAAAUUACCCCCUGGAACUUUUGGAAAGUUACACUUUAAACCCUGGGCCAAAACUUUCAAAAGUUUACAAAAUAAACCUUUUGAUUUAAUUUUCUAAAAUUGUUUUAUUUAAUUAUUUUAAAUUCCAAAAAUAGUUUUUAAUUAUUUCUUUAUUCAAAAAUAAAUCUAAAUUAGUUUGUUAAUUAAUUUUAAUUAGUAAUUAAUUAUUUUAAUUGGUCAAUUAAUUUAAAUAUUAAUUGAUUAAUUAUUUUAAUUAAUUAUUAAUUGAUUUUAAUUGAUUAAUUAAUUGGAUUUAAUUAAUCCUUUUUGAUUUAAAAAUUCCGAAAAAUAGUUUCGAGCUUUAAAAUAUUUUUACAAAUUAUUUUCAAGGCUCGAUAAUUGUUUAUGAAUGAUUUCAAGUCCAAUUUCAAGUAUUUGGGAUUUGAUUAUUUAUUCGAAAAGUGAUUCUUUUAUCGAUUUUAAUUCCGAAAAAUGUUUAAAAAUUCCAGAAAAUUCCCGAAAAAUCAUUUUAAACCCAGGAAGUGAUUUGACAUCAAUUGGGAUGGGAGACUUAAUGUGUAAUGUGUUGUCUGCUAUUGGUUGGAUGUCUUAUGUGUCGAUAUAAUAGUGAGAAAACGGUUUUAAACAUAUCUUUUGAUCCGUAAGUCGGAAUCGAGUGAAACGGAAGAGAGAUGAAAGCUUAUAAAGUCUAGUUUGAUAUGACAUAAUAAUAUGAUGGAGUCGAGAAUGUGAAUAAUUGUUGAUUAAUGUGCACAAUGUGAUUAUAUGUUAUUUGAUUGCUAUUAAUUGAUGAGUACGUGAUAUAUAUGUCUAUUCCUGAUAUUAUAUAUGUGAUAAAUGACUUAUAUGACAUAGUGUCAUGAUUUGAUUAAUAUUGGAUAAGAACAUAUGGAUUAUGGUGAUUGGAUUUGGUUGGUUGAUUGUUGAUGGAGAUAGGAUAACAUGUGGAUAGUCUAAUAAAUAGACGAGAUGCUGUCAAAUUUUCGAUAGGACUUAUAUGAUAAGUGAUUUGUGAUAUGUUAUGUGGAAUAUGACUUGACUAUAUGGUAGAGUCAAAGCAUGAUUACGUGUUAAGUGAUAUGUGAUAAGUUUAAAGGGGUAUAUAAGUGGGUAUCGAUAUGCGUGAUAUGUAUAUACGAUCGAUUGAUUAGUGAUUAUAUUAUUAUCUUAUUCUCGUUAAGGAUUGGACGAGACGUGGAUGACCGAAGACGUUCAGAAGGACAAGUGGUGUUCCAAAGCGAAUAAAGAAUGAGUCGAGUAAGCGAAGUGCUGUGGCGAAUAGAGUAUAGCUAGAGAUGGUCUAGAGAUUAUAAGAUGCAUAUAUUGUGAAAGUGGAAAGUUGAGAAUGAGCUGUGAGACGGGAGUCAGAUUUAAGGCAAGUAUCCUAUACCCUUCUUUUGGAUAUCUUGCGAUUAUUCUGAUCCAUUAUUCUCGUAUGUGUUGCAAAUAUUCGUUCCUCUCUUUUUCAUAUUUGGCAAGUGCAAAUAUUUUUAUCCAUCCUUUUCUAAUCCUCAAAAAUUCAGAUAAUUCCAGUUUUACAAAUUAAUUCGAAGUUCAGAUUGUCAUUGAAGCAUGUGUUGCUCAGUGAUGAUUAGAACCUAGAAUGACUUGGGAUCUUCUUGAUUAUUCAACCCGCCAUUGUCAUGCUGGUUUAGCAGGCUAAAUUCAGUUGCUUAGCCGAUAAUGGAGGAUACUGAAUAGUUAAGGAUUUCCUGAACUAUGAUUUAUGGAAGGAUGGACUCUGGUUUAUGAAAAGUUGAUUAUCAAAGUUUGAUUUGGAAUUAUUCUAUCAUGGAUAUUGAUUGUGUUUAUGUUCUGUUGUUAUACGUUGACCUGUUAUUGAAUUAUAGAAUUGGAUUAUUGUUUUUAUAUAAACCUGUGGACCAGAUUCGUGGUCAUGUUAGGCCAAUGAGUGCCUUGGAUCCAGUGAUAGAGCAUGGCGGGGCCUGCUCGGGGUUAGUGCGGAACUGAUCAGCUGCCUAACCUUGGUUUUAAUUAAAAUGUGAUAGUCCAAUUCAAUAAUUCUUUGGAAAGAUUGAAUUUCUCAGUUUAAAUGAUGCAAGGUAUUGUAAAUCAUUCUAUACAAUACCAUGAACUCAUGAACUCAGGUUGAAUUCUCUUAUAUCUUGAACUCGUGAACUUCUGUUAUAUCAUUUCAGAACUAUCAUUGUUUAUUAUUACUUGCUGAGCAUUGUUGCUCACCCUUGCUAUUCCUUUCUAACCAUUUCAGAAAGGCUGAAAGAUAAGAUGAUUGAUUGAGAUUGUGGAUAAGGCUAAUGCUAGGCGAGGAGACAGAGUUGAGGAUCCAGUGGUCGAGGAGUAUUCAGGAAAGUUGAUAAGGUUGGUGCUAGCUAGAGUUAUGCUAUGAAGUUUCAGAUGUAAGUCAUGGCUGGAGUAAGUUGACAGUGAUUCUUCUUAUCGAAGAUGAUCUGAUUUGGUAAGGGAUGUUGUGUAGUAUUAGUGGUGGAUUCUAAUUUCAAUACUGUAACCUGGAAGCGAUCCUGUUGUUUUUGGGGGUUAAAAUGUUCUCUUUCGAAUCAGCUAUUAAAGUUUAAAUGUUCUCUGAAAAGUUCUUUUAUGAUGGUUUUCAAAUUUAAAAUUCAGGUUUUGAAAUCAUUUGAUUUAUGUUCUCAUACAAAUCUUUUAUUAAAUGUUUCAAGUUUUAAAUUCUUGUGGAUUUUCAUUAUCUUUAAUAAAAAUACAGGGUUUCACAAGUGUUUUAAAAAGGGUUUUGUGUGGUGACGUCAGAAUCCAGACCCCCGGAUUCCUGGACUGUCACAGUUGGUAUCAGAGCAACAGGUUAUAAGUAUUUGAAAUUAGAAUAUAGAUCAUAGUUAUAGGUUUUCUAGAGAAGAAUGUUGGGUGACCUCGGAUAGAGGUAUUGUGAGACUAUUUAGAAAUAGUCUAGGGAUGUGAUAGAGAAAUAGAAUCUAGUUAAAUGAUUAAGUUGAGUGCAUAAGUUUAAAGAGAUUUUGAUUCCUAAGUUAGACAUAUGAUUUUUAGUAUGUUGACUAAUUGAGAUGAUGAAUUGUGAGAAAGGUCAGUAUUAGACCUAUACAGAAGAGUUUGAUAAUGAAUGACUGAGUUGAAAAUGGUGAAAAUGCAGAGUUCAGAGUAUUCUGACUAUACUGCAUAUUUGAAAUUAGAUUAUUGUAUUGAUUUGAGGAUGAUAUAAAUGCAUGGUUCAUAGUAUGUUGACCAUGUCAGAUAUUUGAAAGAUGUAUAUUGUUUUGGAGUGAAGAUAUGAACAGUAAGUGUAGAGUAUGAGUUGUAUUGGAUUAGAAGGAGAGAUUGGUAGAUAGAGGUUGAUAGGUGAGAAGUGAAUGAUAGAGAGUACGUGGAAUUGAGUCCAGUUAUUAGAGAUGAUGUCUACAAGUAAGUUAGAACGUUAGUUCUCGACGACUACGCUUUAAGUUAAGCGGGACAAGGUGGGCCCAUAACCCACAGGUUGACGAGUCAGAAAAUAGAAGAUACGCUACGUGUCGUGCUAUGGAAUUCAAAGGCAACUGGAUGAAACAUGAGAACGUGAACUACUUGGGCCAGACUUAUUAUGAACUAUAACGUCUACGAUGACAUCUUACGAGGCUAUUACGAGUCAACAUCGAUCGAUUAUCGAGAACGUUGAAAAGAAGACAUAUAUCGAACAAUGAUUUAUUGAAGCAGAGUGAAAAUCUGAGAAGACCUUGGCAAUACCUCUCUUCAACUAAGAUUCUUUUGGAUUGUUUUUCUCAUCAGUGAGAUAUUAUCAUGAUAUCCUUUCGACCAAAGUUUCGAUAAAUGAGAUUUUCAAUUUCUCAAAUUCUAAGAUGACAUUAAUAUUGAUUAUUGGUGUGAGUUGGUAUUGAUUCAAGAUGUGUGAUAAAGGUUUGUUGUGAAGAGACAGUGAUGUUCCUUGAGAUAGUUUGACAUUUCUUGACAUCCUUGAUAUUCUUUCAUCUUCUUUGAUAUCCCUUGAUGUUCUUUAAUAGUUGCAAUUCUUUGACAUUCUUUGAUAUUCUCGAUAUUCUUUGACAUUCUUUGAUAUUCCUUAAUAUAUUCCUCGAUAAUCCUUAACAUUCCUUGAUGCUCCUUGAGAUUUCUUGGAUUCUUUCCAUCUGAUUGGGAUGAACAACCCUAUGUAUAGGGGACACAAGGUAUACCUGUCUGUGUGAUAGGAGUUGGAUGGGACGCCAUCACUUGUGUGUGUUGUGAUUACAAGAAGGUUAACAACCUUUAGUAGUGUCUAAUAUGGACACGCAACAUUAAGUUCAUUUGAUCGUAUUGAUCUCCCAGUCACUCUUGUAUUCCAAUGUGACCUAUUUUGAAAACAGCUUGUUCCUCCAAAAUUCUCAAAAAUUGAUUCUUGAGAAAUGAAUUCUGCAAUUGUGAAAGUGUUGAUAUUCCUAUUUCUUUAAAAUUGAAGGUAUGCCAAGGUUGAUUAAGGGCGGAUGAGCAUGUGAUGUUAUGAAACGUGUACAAUGAUUUUACAAAUGAUAUGUUUUAGUUUCUUCGGAGGAUUCCGAGGACGGAAUCCUUAUAAGGGGGGUAGAAUGUAAUAUCCCGUAUUAUUAAAUUUAGAUUUGAUUAUUAUAAAUCUAUUUGUCUAAAUAUAAUUGUUGGCUUUAAUGGAAUAGUGAUCUGAUUAUGUGAAUAGUGUGUAUGUGAUUAUACUUGUUAUGUGGAUUAAUAUGGAUUUUACAGAUUAUGCGUCCUCCUUCUUUCUCUGAUUCCGAGGACGGAAUCCCUAUAAGGAGGGUAGAUUGUAAUGACCCGGAUUUUUAAAAAUAUUUUUAUUAGUAUUAAAAGUGAUUUUCUUCAAAGAAGGGAAUAAGAUUUAAUAUUUUAUUCCAGUUUAAUGAGUUUUCAAGGUUUUAUAUUUAAACCCCGGGUUAUUGUGUUAUUGAUAAAUAAUUGUAUUUUCAAAACUGAUUUUCAUAUAUUGUUUUGAAAAUUCUGUAUGAAUAUUAUGUGAAUAUAUGUGUUAUGUGAUUAAGUGGUAUUGGUGAAUUUGUUUGUUAAUUAGUUAUGAUUAAUUAUUAAUAUUAUAUGAUUAAUAUAUGAAUUUUUGUGAAUUUUGUGUUAUCUAGUUUAUUGAGCUGAAUGCUCGUAUGUGUUCGUAUUCGCGAGAUUUCAAUUUCUAUAUGCUCAGGAGAAAAUAUAGUUUAUUUGGAUAUUUUCAUAUCGAUUUAUGGAAUGUUAGAUGAUUUUAUAAUCGAUUUACGGAUUUAAUUGCGUAUAUUUAUAUUUAUUUAUUAAUUAUUUGACUUCCGUAAAACCGUCCACUCGUAACGAGGUAGCAAAUUUUCUUCCCGGAAGUUUCAACAAAACUCACCUUUAGCCUAAUUUGAAUAUUCCGGA
rnacentral:lncRNA from 1 species